UUAGUAUUUGAGAGAUGCUGCGCACUAAAUUGAAGUUUCUUAUAAUACAAGGUUAAACAGAUCUCCGCUGCUGAAGGUGCUCCGAGCAUCCGGAGAGUGAGGACGAGCCUAUCCGUGAGAAUUGUUUUGCGUCACUGUACAAGUUAAAAUGCAGCGCUCGUUAGAACAAAGUGUUACGAUCAAAUUUUGCGUGAAAGUGGGAAAGACCGCGACGGGAACGGUUGCUCUGAUCAAAUCAGUUUGUAAAGAAAAUACCCUGUCAGAUCGGCAAGUGAAAACACCCAUAAAAGGCAAGCAUUUCAGGACAGUAGACGGAAUCAAAAGAGCUUGCACGGCGGCAUUGACGGAAAUUCUGGAGGAGGCCUACCAUAAUGCAUUCGAGAGCUGGAAGACUCGCUGGAGUAGAUGUAUUGACGCAGGAGGAGCCUAUUUUGAAGAUUUUUAAUCAUUUGUAACGAGCAGUUUAAUAAACGAUUUUUAAUCGACAUACUGACAUUACUUUCAGGAUAUACUAUGCAUUAUUGGAUAUAUUCAAACGAACGGGUCCGAUAAAGGGUUCCUGGGUCAACGACGAAGCCUUUU
rnacentral:misc_RNA from 1 species